CGCCGCCCUCCGCCUUCGCCGCAACCACGGCGGCGACGAGGAGGACAACGAGGAGCCGAGCAAGAUCCAUCCUUUCCCACUCCACUCGCUGCGUCGAGCAAAUGGACGCGUCUGUCUGUCUGUCGUGUCUCUUGUAGUGAGGCCGGCGCCGGCAAGCUGUCGACGUUGGUCGGCAAGGACGGGCGGCGACCGAUCGAGCGAGGAAAAAGAAGGCAGCGGCAGCGGCAGCCUGCAGAGCGAACAGUAUGGCGGGAGGGAGGCGGCUGCAGGCGAGCUACGGCAUGAUGACUCCUCUGUCCUAGUGGCUAGCGAAGGAGUAGGAGUAGCACAGGAUUGGAGUAG
rnacentral:lncRNA from 1 species